rnacentral:rRNA from 1 species
UACGGAGGGGGCUAGCGUUUUUCGGAAUUACUGGGCGUAAAGCGCGCGUAGGCGGACCUGCAAGUCGGGGGUGAAAGCCCGAGGCUCAACCUCGGAACUGCCUUCGAUACUGCGGGUCUCGAGUCCGAGAGAGGUGAGUGGAAUUCCUAGUGUAGAGGUGAAAUUCGUAGAUAUUAGGAAGAACACCAGUGGCGAAGGCGGCCCACUGGCCCGGUACUGACGCUGAGGUGCGAAAGCGUGGGGAGCAAACAGG